CUCUCUCUCUCUCUCUCUCUCUCUCUCUCUCUCUCUCCCCCCCCCCCCCAUUCACACGCCUACUCUCUCUCUCUCUUACCUCUAUCUCUUUUCCCUUUCUACCACCAUGGAUAACCAUUCUCAAAGCUUCCAAGAUCAUUUCUAUACCAAGAAACUCCAUCAAAUCAAGUCUUAAACAUCUAUAUUCCUUGAAUCAAGAACUAGUUUGGAGGGAUUUUCAAGCUUGAAGCAAAAGAGAAGAUUUUUAUCCUUCCUUAAAUAAUUGAAUACGAGCAGAGGACGGAGGUAAGAUCGCCCAAGUACUACGAGAGUAAGCUAAGUUUGUCAGGAUAAGCGAGGAGGAGGAAGAUCGGUCUGGUGCUGGCGGGGACUUUUUGGACGACGUUGUUUCUUUUACCGUAUUCCUACGUCAUACGGUAGCCUUUUGAGGUUGGAUGUGUAUAUUUUGAACUUAUUCAGGAAAUACACUCUCGGCUAUAUGUCUUCAUACAUAUAGUCUGAUCACGUUUUACUGCGAGACUCUGUAAAUUAUAAACCUUUGUAAAUUUUUAACUAUGCCCGCUUUGUAAACUUUGUCGAGAAUCUCUGUACUUUUGAACUUAUGAAGCCGAUAAUAUUUGUGUC